rnacentral:misc_RNA from 1 species
ACCCAAUAGUAGAAUCGAAGUCUCUGCAACUAACAACCAAUUCUCUCCAUGGCGCUUUCUGGCUCUCGUGAUGCUUGCCCCAUGGUAAAGAACAUUCUUCUGCUAGACUCUGAAGGGAAGCGUGUGGCUGUCAAAUACUACUCAGAUGAUUGGCCAACCAAUAAUGCAAAGUUAGCUUUUGAAAAAUCAUUGUUUGCUAAGACUAUGAAAUCAAAUGCCCGGACAGAAGCGGAGAUAACGAUGUUUGACAACUACAUUGUUGUAUAUAAAUUUGUUCAAGACCUCCACUUCUUUGUGACUGGUGGUGAUGAUGAAAACGAACUCAUCUUAGCUUCUGUUCUUCAAGGUUUCUUUGAUUCAGUUUCUCUUCUCUUGAGGAGUACUGUUGACAAGAGGGAGGCACUUGAGAACUUGGAUCUCAUCUUUUUAUGCCUUGAUGAGAUAGUUGAAAAAGGGAUGAUACUUGAAACAGAUGCCAAUGUUAUUGCAGGAAAGGUGGCAGUAAAUAGCAUGGAUCCUAGUGCACCUUUGUCUGAACAGACAAUAAGCCAAGCACUGGCUACAGCACGCGAACACUUGACAAGAACCCUCUUUCAGUAGGGCUGCUAUGGUCGCACGAAGAAAAUGGCUUGGAUUUCAUUCUUUAGUCAAUUUUUGGUUUUCAGCAUGUUGUCAUGUAGGAAUUCAUCUUCAUCCAAUUUAUUUUUGUUGAGCUUAAAAUUAGGGAGGAUAAUACCAUUUUCAUUUGGGCUUCUUGUGGUUUACCCAAUCAAUAAUACCUUUUUUGCUUGUCUUCUACU